AGAGGUUCGGGAUCAUACAUAUUUGACCCUUAGCACAUGCCUCAAUGAGCGAUAGCUGAAGCCUGCAGGCAUACCACAGGUGUGGUAUCCCGCGAUGUCAGUAUCCAGUGCGAUGGUCAUGGUGGUUUACCAAAUGAUGACGCAUGUUGGUGAAACCAGCAAAUCCGAUUUAAAGGGCUGGGAAGAGUGCUUCUAGUGGUGUUUUGUGUGGAGCACCUGGCUGUUUUUGCUUGGUACAAAGCAAAAACAGUUAAGUAGAGAAACAUUUAUCUGGCCAGAUUACUCAGUCAUUUUUCCUAAUUUUUUCUUCCUCUAGUAUCAACAGCCUUCAGCUUCUUAUCGGAGCUGUCACUGGUGGUUAAUAUCUGUGUGGUCCUCAUGUCUGAACAUUUCACAGGUCAGCACCUCCUCUACUGCAUGCUCAGUCCAUUUUAACAGAUCAGUUUUGCAGGCAACAUAAAUGAUUAAUGGAUCUUGCGGGGUAAUCUAGCAGCUUGUUUAAUGUUUCUGACCUAGGUGCUUUAAAACUCAUUACUGGUACCUAUUGAAGCUUUUCUAAUGGAUUUUAAAAUAGAUUUCACUACUGUUAACAUGUUUCUGCUCUUAUGAGGUCUUCAUUUUCAUGUACCUUGUUUAUAUGUUGUUAGUUGUAAUUGUUAGUCACUAUCAAAAGACUUACAUUUUUAAAAAAGUCAGUCUACAUUCAGGGUGACAAUUUAUCAUGUUCCACUUAGAAAAGAACGACAUUUAGUGCAAAGUUACGCGCCUAGGCAAUGGGCAUUUGGCACAAGUACACACAUUUUAAAAGUAGAAUUUCUGUUUUUAUUAUUUAAAGCCAGGUCUACACUCAGAUAGUGCCCUGGCCUAUUCCUUACAACGGACAUUGAUUUUUCUCGUUCAACACGUUCUUCCACGCGGCUGUGAUGAGGCUGCAAACCCGUUGUUCUGCCUCUCUUUUUUAUGGGCAGGGACAUGCUCUAGGCUGGCCCAUCAGAUAAACUAUUUUCACCAAUCACUGUGAUUGAUUCAAGAAUGAGCAUGUUACUCAAGCACAUGGCCAAUCGUUUUCUUGGAAGGUUUAAUAUAUGGAUGACAGAAGAGAUUAUGUAUCUUUCUUCCUCUGGGAUUACAAACAAUAAAGGUGAUGGAAACUGGAGCUGUCAUAGACACUCUUCCUUCAUACACAGUGGAAGCCAUCUGCACUAGGAGAGUGUAGGAAUAACUCAGAAAGAUAGGCUCGUAAUUUAGUGCAUAAAGAAAAAAAAACUUUAUUACCAUUCCUUUCUCUGAUGGAUAGUAUAAAAUCUAGAAUCUUCUGCAUUCCUUUAUGACUUUUUUUUUUUUUUUUUUUCCUGAGACAGAGUCUCACUCUGUCACCUGGG
rnacentral:lncRNA from 1 species